UUGGAUUUGUUGUUAACAUUA
ensembl:piRNA 21ur-14197 ncRNA